GGCGAUCCGACUGGGCAGCGCGGGUGGAGCAGCGUGUGGGCUCGGGGGCGCUGCGCUGGUGGAGGCGGGGUGCUGGCCGCGCAGGUGCAGAAGGGAGGGCCGAGGGUGAGGUGGGCUGUGCGCGUGGGGCUUGGUAGCAAAGUGGCUGCUGGGCAACAGGCCGGUGACUGCAAUCUGGAGGCAGUGACUGCAAGGCGGAGGCAGCGACGACAGGUGAGCGUCUGUGCUAUUGGUGGGAGUCCUUCGACGACAGGUGAGCG
rnacentral:lncRNA from 1 species